AUUGAACGCUGGCGGCAUGCCUUACACAUGCAAGUCGAACGGCAGCACGGGAGCAAUCCUGGUGGCGAGUGGCGAACGGGUGAGUAAAGUAUCGGAACGUACCUUUCAGUGGGGGAUAACGUAGCGAAAGUUACGCUAAUACCGCAUAUUCUGUGAGCAGGAAAGCAGGGGAUCGCAAGACCUUGCGCUGAUGGAGCGGCCGAUAUCAGAUUAGCUAGUUGGUGAGGUAAAGGCUCACCAAGGCGACGAUCUGUAGCGGGUCUGAGAGGAUGAUCCGCCACACUGGGACUGAGACACGGCCCAGACUCCUACGGGAGGCAGCAGUGGGGAAUAUUGGACAAUGGGUGCGAGCCUGAUCCAGCCAUGCCGCGUGAGUGAAGAAGGCCU
rnacentral:rRNA from 1 species